rnacentral:misc_RNA from 1 species
AGUUUUAGCUUCCUGAGAGGAAGUACGGCAUUUUUUGUUUCCAGGAAAGGCAUUACAAGAUAUGUCUAUGAGGGCCUUGACACUAUAUGGUUUAUGCAUAGAAAACCCUGGUAGUGGAAGGAUGAGCAACCAAAACUACCAGUUAUACAUUAAUUGAAAUGUUUACCUUCCUGGGAGGAAGGACCACAUUUUUGUUUCCAGGAAAGGCAUUAUGAGAUAUGUCUACGAGGGCCUUGAAACUAUACGGUUCAUGCAUAGAUA